CAGAUACCAUGCUCCACAUAAGGACGUCUGCGAGUGGUUCAAUAGGAUAAGUUUUGAUAAAUAUGGACGUACUUCAACCCCAGAGCAAACUGAGGGUGGUCAAGUAGCAGGUAUGUUCACAUGAUACUGUUGGAGAACUAUUGACUUUCGGAUAACACAGUGCAGUAAUUUUUUUUUUUUCAUUUAUUGUUUUUCUUUUUACAUGUCCAUAUAUUUAUUGUUUUAGAGAUGGGCCCAAACAAUGAUUCAGGCAUUUUGUUUAUCCUCCAUCUUCCUCAUGUUCAGUCGAUCAAUGAAGGUUGGUUAGUGACCUACGAUGGAGGGUUGGGUAAGGUGAUAUGUUUACAGAGGAACAAAGAAUGAGUUGGUUGAAUCAGCAGCUGAGAUGCUCGGAUGUCAGAUUCAUGGGAGUUGAUAUAUUGACAAGCAAAGGAAUGGCUGCUAUGGUGAGAUUUAAUUCUUAUGUGUUAUAUAUACCAGUUGCAUAGUGUUGUUAUAAUCACCUAACAGGAGAUGGUUUUUUUAUUUAUUAGAAUUAUUGUUUUAAAAAAAAAAAACAUCAAUAACACAAUAUUGUGGAGGUCCAAUUCCUUUAUGGUGACCCAUUUAUAUCGUCUCCUAGGCCUGCAUACAACAUCAAUUUCUUUAACUCUUUCUAGACAUUGAUGGAGUCAAGGUACUUUGGGAUCUCUCUUGCAACCUCACUUCAUCUUGCUGACAUACGGGCACCUCAAGCCUCAAAAGGCAUCACAAAGCUAUUUUUCAAGAGUUUGGAUAUUUCAUACUUUCUAAUAUUUAUUGUGAUUGUUAAAAUCUCCAAUUGGAUUAAAUUAGCUCCUGUUAACAGUUAUGUAUAGGGUGCUGCUCCUCUAUCUUUGUAUGUAAAGUUGCUCAUAUACAUCUUAGAGAAACUGGGCAUGUAGUGUUUUUUCCCUUCCAAUUGUUAUAUAGUUUUUCCCUUGCCUAUUUUAUUGUUUUUGCUUUAUAAUAGCUGAAUGGAGUGUAUAUAUCAAAUUUGUUUAGUUUCCUCAGAAAAAAGGCUAAAGAAUAUGGGGUUUGAUAAAAGUAGCAAAAGAAGUGGAGGGGAAGUGGGACAGGUGGGUGGUUUGGCAUGGGAUUCUACUUGGUUGUAGUUUUUUUAUAAGACCCAACAUGUAAAUCUGGGUGUUGGAUAUUGGAAGUGAUUGAUGGAUUACUCAUAUUGAGGUUUGCUUGCAUGCUUCUGUUGCUGACAUUAUGUUGGUUUAAACAAGUAGAAGUUUUGUUAACUAUAACUGGUCCUUUAUAUAUAAUUGUUAUAUGGUGUGUGCUGAUAUAUUUUAUCUAUAAUUGUCAGGAUGGUGUUUGUCGAGAUGGAAAUAUGAAAUAUCCCACGAGUAUAAGGGCAUUGAUGCAAUCUUGUAAGGAGCUGUUAUGCCGACCCCUCAUGUCCAAGUGCAUAUUGUUAGAUCUGACUAGAUAUAAUUUAUAAAGAUAGACGAGCAGCACAUUUGACAUAUUGUGAAUGAUAUAUGCAUUCUCAGUAUUUAGUAGUUAAGUUGUAAGUUUUGGUUUUCGAUUGGUCAACCCCAGUGUAUAGCCCAUAACUACAUUAAUGUGAAUUCCCCACCUCAAUGGAUGAAUUGAAUGUCAUUAAUUUAUUAAAUUAGAUGGAAAUGGUUUGAAAAGGUCUGUCAUGGAAUCCUACAUGUUCUCAAGGCAUAUAUAGUGCAAGUUCAAUCUUUUUCCUUUA